UACAUCACCAGUUCCAAUAUGAUCACUAAAGUUAAGCAACACUGAGCCUUGUCAGUACCUAAAUGGGUGACCACUUGGGAAUAUCAUGUGCUGUA